CAGCCGCCGCGGUAAUACGUAGGGUGCAAGCGUUAAUCGGAAUUACUGGGCGUAAAGCGUGCGCAGGCGGUUAUAUAAGACAGAUGUGAAAUCCCCGGGCUCAACCUGGGAACUGCAUUUGUGACUGUAUAGCUAGAGUACGGCAGAGGGUGAUGGAAUUCCGCGUGUAGCAGUGAAAUGCGUAGAUAUGCGGAGGAACACCGAUGGCGAAGGCAAUCCCCUGGGCCUGUACUGACGCUCAUGCACGAAAGCGUGGGGAGCAAACAGGAUUAGAUACCCGUGUAGUCCCUGUCUCUUAUAC
rnacentral:rRNA from 1 species